AGAGUUUGAUCCUGGCUCACAUUGAACGCUGGCGGCAGGCCUAACACAUGCAAGUCGAGCGGUAGCACAGAGAGCUUGCUCUCGGGUGACGAGCGGCGGACGGGUGAGUAAUGUCUGGGAAACUGCCUGAUGGAGGGGGAUAACUACUGGAAACGGUAGCUAAUACCGCAUAAUGUCGCAAGACCAAAGUGGGGGACCUUCGGGCCUCAUGCCAUCAGAUGUGCCCAGAUGGGAUUAGCUAGUAGGUGGGGUAACGGCUCACCUAGGCGACGAUCCCUAGCUGGUCUGAGAGGAUGACCAGCCACACUGGAACUGAGACACGGUCCAGACUCCUACGGGAGGCAGCAGUGGGGAAUAUUGCACAAUGGGCGCAAGCCUGAUGCAGCCAUGCCGCGUGUGUGAAGAAGGCCUUCGGGUUGUAAAGCACUUUCAGCGGGGAGGAAGGCGUUAAGGUUAAUAACCUUGGCGAUUGACGUUACCCGCAGAAGAAGCACCGGCUAACUCCGUGCCAGCAGCCGCGGUAAUACGGAGGGUGCAAGCGUUAAUCGGAAUUACUGGGCGUAAAGCGCACGCAGGCGGUCUGUCAAGUCGGAUGUGAAAUCCCCGGGCUCAACCUGGGAACUGCAUUCGAAACUGGCAGGCUAGAGUCUUGUAGAGGGGGGUAGAAUUCCAGGUGUAGCGGUGAAAUGCGUAGAGAUCUGGAGGAAUACCGGUGGCGAAGGCGGCCCCCUGGACAAAGACUGACGCUCAGGUGCGAAAGCGUGGGGAGCAAACAGGAUUAGAUACCCUGGUAGUCCACGCCGUAAACGAUGUCGAUUUGGAGGUUGUGCCCUUGAGGCGUGGCUUCCGGAGCUAACGCGUUAAAUCGACCGCCUGGGGAGUACGGCCGCAAGGUUAAAACUCAAAUGAAUUGACGGGGGCCCGCACAAGCGGUGGAGCAUGUGGUUUAAUUCGAUGCAACGCGAAGAACCUUACCUGGUCUUGACAUCCACAGAACUUUCCAGAGAUGGAUUGGUGCCUUCGGGAACUGUGAGACAGGUGCUGCAUGGCUGUCGUCAGCUCGUGUUGUGAAAUGUUGGGUUAAGUCCCGCAACGAGCGCAACCCUUAUCCUUUGUUGCCAGCGGUUCGGCCGGGAACUCAAAGGAGACUGCCAGUGAUAAACUGGAGGAAGGUGGGGAUGACGUCAAGUCAUCAUGGCCCUUACGACCAGGGCUACACACGUGCUACAAUGGCAUAUACAAAGAGAAGCGACCUCGCGAGAGCAAGCGGACCUCAUAAAGUAUGUCGUAGUCCGGAUUGGAGUCUGCAACUCGACUCCAUGAAGUCGGAAUCGCUAGUAAUCGUGGAUCAGAAUGCUACGGUGAAUACGUUCCCGGGCCUUGUACACACCGCCCGUCACACCAUGGGAGUGGGUUGCA
rnacentral:rRNA from 1 species